AGUCCAUAGCAGCGUGGAAGACUAGUGAUUUUGUUGUUUUUGUGGUCAAACUGACAACAAGUCAUUGUCUCCCGCAUUGCUUUGAGACA